rnacentral:rRNA from 1 species
AUUGAACGCUGGCGGAAUGCUUUACACAUGCAAGUCGAACGGCAGCGCGGGUGCUUGCACCUGGCGGCGAGUGGCGAACGGGUGAGUAAUAUAUCGGAACGUGCCCAGUAAUGGGGGAUAACUAACCGAAAGGUUAGCUAAUACCGCAUACGCCCUGAGGGGGAAAGCGGGGGAUCGAAAGACCUCGCGUUAUUGGAGCGGCCGAUAUCUGAUUAGCUAGUUGGUAGGGUAAAGGCCUACAAAGGCGACGAUCAGUAGCUGGUUUGAGAGGAUGAUCAGCCACACUGGGACUGAGACACGGCCCAGACUCCUACGGGAGGCAGCAGUGCGGAAUUUUGGACAAUGGGCGAAAGCCUGAUCCAGCCAUUCCGCGUGAGUGAAGAAGGCCUUCGGGUUGUAAAGCUCUUUCGGCAGGAACGAAACGCUCUGGACUAAUACUCCGGGGUAAUGACGGUACCUGAAGAAGAAGCACCGGCUAACUACGUGCCAGCCGCCGCCGUAAAAC